AACGAACGCUGGCGGCGUGCUUAAUACAUGCAAGUCGAACGUGAAACGAGUAGCAAUACUUGUGGAAAGUGGCGAACGGGUGAGUAAUACGUAAGCAAUCUACCUUUAAGAUUGGGAUAACCUUGCCAACGCGGGGCUAAUACCGGAUGUGGUCAUUUUAACGCAUGUUAGAAUGAUUAAAGGAGUGAUCCGCUUAAGGAUGAGCUUGCGGCCCAUUAGUUAGUUGGCGGGGUAACGGCCCACCAAGACCGCGAUGGGUAGCCGGCCUGAGAGGGUGGACGGCCACAUUGGGACUGAGAUACGGCCCAGACUCCUACGGGAGGCAGCAGUAGGGAAUUUUGCGCAAUGGACGAAAGUCUGACGCAGCAACGCCGCGUGAGGGAUGACGGCCUUCGGGUUGUAAACCUCUGUUGGAUGGGAAAAAAAGUAGCAAUAUUUGAUGGUACCAUUCGAGUAAGCACCGGCUAACUACGUG
rnacentral:rRNA from 1 species